AGCAGCCGCGGUAAUUCCAGCUCCAAUAGCGUAUAUUAAAGUUGUUGCAGUUAAAAAGCUCGUAGUUGAACUUCGGGGUUUACCCAUUGGUCAGGCUUAAUUGUCUGUACUGGUGAGAUAAAUCUCUACCUUCUGAGGAACUUUCAUGCCAUUUAUUUGGUGCGAUUGGAAAUCAGGACUAUUACUUUGAAAAAAUUAGAGUGUUUAAAGCAGGCUAACGUCUGAAUAUAUUAGCAUGGAAUAAUGAAAUAGGACGGCUUGGUUCUAUUUCGUUGGUUUCUAGGAUCACCGUAAUGAUUAAUAGGGAUAGUUGGGGGCAUUAGUAUUCAAUUGUCAGAGGUGAAAUUCUUGGAUUUAUUGAAGACUAACUACUGCGAAAGCAUUUGCCAAGGAUGUUUUCAUUAAUCAAGAACGAAAGUUAGGGGAUCGAAGACGAUCAGAUACCGUCGUAGUCUUAACCAUAAACUAUGCCGACUAGGGAUCGGACGAAGUUAAUUUUAUAAUGACGCGUUCGGCACCUUACG
rnacentral:rRNA from 1 species